AGGAAUGUGGAGAUUGAAUAAUUAAGCAGCAGUAGUGCAUACAAGGCCUUAGUCUAGUGGCCACCUUCUAUGUCUUGCAAUAAAUUUAUUGGGUUUCGAAACUUGGUUGAUGCCAAGUAGUGAAUAGAACCUUAAUAUUGUGUGUGUGACUGUGAUGUGAGUGAGUAAGUAAUAUUUAGAAUUAUGAGUUGUCCAAUCAUU